CAGGCGAGGCCGGUCUGGAGCGCCGUGCCUGUAGGUCCAGCCGCGCUGCCUCCCGCGCACGCCGACACCCGAGCCACGCGACACCGCGAUGCCGCAUGCACCGACCGAGCCCGACCACGACUCCCGUCGUCCGUUCGUUGCCUGGGAUUAAUUGAAAAUCACUGCGACUGUUUCUUCUUCUCCAUUAUUCUCUCCCUCGUUAUUCUCUAGAAACUGACACAGUGGUGGCCAUUGAAGACCACGUUACUCCCUCUAUCAGACCUUUCUUCUCCCUCCUGCUCCCUAUAAAAGGGAACAACAGAGCCUCCCCAUUCCUACCUACUCGAGUUUGUCUUUCUCUCUAGCACUCCUCGCUCAUCGCCAGUGCGUUCGACGCCAUCGUUAGUGUGUCGUUCGUCGCCGGAGUGUGCCGUUCGUCGCCGGAGUUCGCCGGAGCCACGUACUCGCUGUCCGUAGUCGAGCCCCGCUCUCCGUCCGGCCGAAACCCGUCGAUCCAUCCCCGUCACACGCACGAACCCGAAGUUGAUGACGACCCAAAUUUAUUUUAUGUAUUUUAUAAAGUGCUUUUGAUUCGAUUCAUGUGUUGUAUAGUUUGUUUGUCGUAAUAUGAACACAUGUGAUUCCGAUUUGUG
rnacentral:lncRNA from 7 species